UAACAAUAGCUUCUACUUUUUUUUUCCUUCAGAGUAAGUCAAAAUUUCUCUCCUUUUCGAAGUAACAACUUGGAAAACGAAAUACCGGGGAGUAUUGCUCGACCAGAAAAGGAUACUCGUAAAAGAACAUGCCUUUGCGUUACCAGAGCAUAACCUCUCUCAUAAUUCUUUAUUUUAUUUGUGCUAACGUCUCAAACCGCAAUCCAGAAUCUUAAAAGCCCAUCACUACUUGCGAUACAUGAAGUUUCCUGGUAGUAACAAUAAACAAAGCAUUUGCUUGUAAGUAGAAAAUAGAUUUUCACUCCUUUUAGAUUCCCUCCGAAACCAUACCAAUGACCAUAACACACCAUAAUGAUGAUGAAAAAAAUACUCCAAAACAUAAACUAAAACUAUAUAAAGAGAUUACUUCCUACUGUCUUGUCUCUCAAAACAAACUGGCAGAUGAGCAAGUGCUUAUAUCUCUCCUUCCGUCCUUCGUGCCUACAUCAACCGCCAAACCCUAGUCACUCUGCAAUUUCCUUUCUCUAAUACUAAAAAAUAUGAAAUCCAAUGACCCCCCCGCAAGAUCAAGAAUCCUCCACCAUUGAUCACACUCCUCCAUUCCAAUCUCAUACCCAAUCAAAACCUUUGAAGAGCUUGAAACUCGUUCUUAGUUUGAAUCUUUUCACUGCCCAUUUAACAAAUCUUAUGUUCCUUUAAAACCCAAGUCUUAGCCAAAUAGGCCUAGGCUUCUUGUUCGCCAUGAUAUGCAAGGAGGUUAUGUGAAUGACAAGUGGGUUCAAGGAGGGACUAAUCCUGAUGCUUAUGCUACUUGGCAUUGGUAUUUGAUUGAUGUUUUCGUUUACUUCUCUCAUAGUUUGGUUACCUUGCCUCCUCCUUGCUGGACUAAUACUGCUCACAGACGUGGUGUACUUCAAAUUUCUUAUUUAUGUCUUUGCAGUUCUUGAGCUGGAAUGUUUAUAUAUAUAUAUAUAUAAGUUAAUUUAGUAUUAGAACUAGUUUAGUUGUUGAAUUUAGCGAAUUGUUAUUGAUUUUUGGAUAAUUAUACGUCAGGAGAUUCUUUUUAAAUUUUUUUGGAAUUGCCCAGGAGGCUGGUUUGCGUUGGCGGGGCAGGCGACAGAGCUAGCUAGUUGCAGAGGUGAAGGCCUCCGAGUAUAAAUUAUGGCCAUUUUGGAGUUUACGAGUGAAAAGUUUUUUUCUUUUUGGAUUAUUUUGAAUGGGCAGGAAGCUGAUUUGGUAGUGAAGUUGUGAGUUCUGGUUCUUUUGUAGUUUACCAAAGUCUUUUCCUUUUCAGUUUGUAUUGAUGUUUGAAAAUGAAGAAAGAUUUGGUGCAAUAAUGUCACAUAUGGUAGGCUUUUGCAUUGGUUAUCAAUAGUUCAAAUCUUCUAAAUAACAUAUUUAGUUGAUUUUAAAAAAUGGCUGGUUCAAUGGUAGUGUACGUUAUUGGUAUAACCUUUGCCGGGAAAAUGUAGACUUUUUUGCUUUGAGUGCCAAGUUCAGAGCUUGUUCGUAGAAGAUUUUUGCAUUUAACUCACAGAGAUCAGAAUUUGGUGUAUCCGAGAUUCAAUUUUUACUCUCAUGGAAAAAGAAUUCGGUUGAAAUUGAAAAAGAAACCACUUGUUUUCUGUGGCAGUCCAGGCAUUAUGGUAGUGGUUUCCUUGGGUGUAUUUUUUUUUUGUAACCUAUAUUAUUCCCACUUGAUGCAUUGUUACAAGUGACUGGCUGGAGAUAUUGAUGCAUUCGAUGUUAUUCCCUGUGCCUGUUGAUGGAAGGUGUUUGGGACUUUCAUAACAGAAUGGGAUGAAGGAAAACUUGUCCGCAAUAAAUUGCUUGCAACAAUGAAGUCUGCUCGGAUGAAUGCUGAGCGAUUGGCGGAGCUUGCUGUUGAUUUGGGCUUUGAUGGAUGGCUGAUUAAUAUGGAGGUUAAUUUGCACAAGCAGCAAAUUCUUAAUCUUGAAGAAUUCGUGAGCCAUCUAACCCAUACAAUGCAUUCCUUGAUGCCUGAAUCUUUGGUCAUAUGGUGAGUAUUAAAAGUGCCACAUUCUACCUGUCUAUCCUGAAUUUUCUUUUGUAUUGCUUGUUACAAAUUAUGCAGCUAUGACAGUGUCAUAACCACUGAAUAUAUUUGGUGGUAAGAUCAACUGAAUGAAAAUAAUAAAUGUUUCUUUGAUAUAUGUGAUGGCAUAUUUGUAAACUACACAUGGAAGGUACCAGAUUAUCUUGUUCUCUUCCAUAUAGAGUUAAUUUUGUUGUUCCAUUUCUUCAUGUGUGCAAAUUUAAUCAUUUUCUGAGCAGAGUAACUAUCCAGAUCUUUCAGCUGCUGUGGCUGGAAAUAGAAAGUUUGAUGUCUACAUGGGAAUGGAUGUAUUUGGAAGGAAAACUUUUGGUGGUGGACAAUGGAACGUUGUUUCUACGUUGUCCUUGAGUAACCAUGUGAUUCCGCUACUUGUUGGGACUGAUCAUUGUCUGAAUGUCGUUCAUGAUCUUCGCAAGUGUAAACGUCAAGCAUCCUUCCAAGCACUGACAAACUUGAUAUUGUUCAGGGUCAAGGCUAUCGUGUUUCUGUCAAGGGCAACCAGCUAACAGAUGCUCCUUGGAACAACAUGUCUUGCCAAGGCUUUCAGGUGUGCACCAAAAGAGCUGCUAUUAAUUUCUUUUAGUAUGGCUUGAUGGUUUGACAUGUUUUGUUUUUCAAUAUAUUUCUUGGAACUGCGAGUUUUCCCCCCCCUUUCACCAUUUGAUUUCAUUUUUUAUGAAAUGGAUGGUGUUUUGGAGACACUUCCAACUGUCUCCAAAGUGCAUAUGGGGAAACUUUGGAUAUUCCAUGACAGAUGUGGUCACACUUGUUCUCUGCUCUCAUGUAUUUUACUAACAAUAUCAAAUGCUCAACAUUCAAUGAAGAUUGUUUAUUCUCACAAAA